rnacentral:rRNA from 1 species
AUACGGAGGGGGCGAGCGUUGCCCGGAAUCACUGGGCCUAAAGGGGGCGUAGGCGGUAGGGCAAGUCCGGUGUGUAAUUCCGGGGCUCAACCCCGGAACUGCACUGGAAACUGCUCUACUAGAGGGCGUCAGAGGAGAGCGGAACGCCUGGUGUAGCGGUGAAAUGCGCAGAUAUCAGGCGGAACGCCGGUGGCGAAGGCGGCUCUCUGGGGCGACCCUGACGCUGAGGCCCGAAAGCCAGGGGAGCGAAGGGGAUUAGAAACCCGAGUAGUCC